ensembl:snoRNA SNORA71 Small nucleolar RNA SNORA71
CCCUGUAUCGAAAGUGAUCAUGGCCUUGUUGUUGCCAGGUCAUUGAUAGUACAGGGAGAGGGUAAUGAGGGCCUUUCCCGUGUCUGAAGGACCAUCAGUGCCUCCCAGACCCUGGCGCUCUCAGACA